rnacentral:misc_RNA from 1 species
GUGAAUCAUCGAAUCUUUGAACGCAAAUUGCACUCUCCUCGGAGCGUAUGACUGUUUGAGGGUCAGCCUAUAAACAAACGACAUCGUUGCUGUUUCGCGGUGGCCUUCGUCGGAAAUUGGGUCAUCUUAAAUCCAUUUGAUUUAUGUUACUUAAAAUUUUCUUUCGGAUCAAUGAACGUUUCUAAGAUCUAUUUCUUUACACGAUUAAUGUAUC